UAGGGUAUCGAUUGAUAGACUGGCUCC
rnacentral:piRNA from 1 species